rnacentral:tRNA from 2 species
UACAAGAUGGUUGAGACUAAACAAUAAACUGUAAAUUUAUAUACGGGGAGCACCCUCUUGUGU